rnacentral:tRNA from 1 species
GCCUGGGUGGCUCAGUGGUUGAGCACCUGCCUUCGGCUCAGGGCGUGAUCCCUGGGUCCUGGGAUCGAGUCCCACAUCGGGCU